AUUGAACGCUGGCGGCAGGCCUAACACAUGCAAGUCGAACGAGUGGCGGACGGGUGAGUAAUGUCUGGGAAACUGCCCGAUGGAGGGGGAUAACUACUGGAAACAGUCGCUAAUACCGCAUACCAUCGGAUGUGCCCAGAUGGGAUUAGCUAGUAGGUGGGGGAAUGGCUCACCUAGGCGACGAUCCCUUGCUGGUCUGAGAGGUUGACCAGCCACACUGGAACUGAGACCCGGUCCAGACCCCUACGGUAGGCAGCAGUGGGGAAUAUGGCACAAUGUGCGCAAGCCUGAUGCAGCCAUGCCGCGUGGAUGAAGAAGGCCUUCGGGUUGUAAAGUACUUUCAGCGAGGAGGCGUUACUCGCAGAAGAAGCACCGGCUAACUCCGUGCCAGCAGCCGCGGUAAUUC
rnacentral:rRNA from 1 species